rnacentral:sRNA from 1 species
UUUUUCAUACUUGGUUUAAAUGUUAGAACCGUUAAUAUAACAUGUGACUAUUAAAAAACAGAUUGUAAAAUGAAUAAUUAAUUGCUUUUAAAAUCUUGUUAAGGUGUUGUUAUUUAACAAUUGCCAGAGGCGGAGCCCUUAAGCGCUGUUGUCCCUUUCUCUCUUAUACCCACAUAUGCGAUGGCCCUCUGGAGUUCGGUUGGUUUGAUUGUGUUGUGUCGGCAGUUUUACUACAUCAUUCUCUUUGGUUUUUUUGGAGGUAGGAUUAAUGAUGAGUCAAUUAGCUUGACUUUAUUUUGGUAUGCGACAGACAGCUAAGUUGCCAUAUUUGUUUUUAUAUCAAAUGCCAACUUUUAUCCCCACAUAUGAAAAUUAACAAA